AUAUAUGUAUUAUCUCAGUAAAUAAAUAUGUAUUUUCCAAAUAUAAAAUUAUAAAUACGAUAUUUUCUUAAUUAUCCUUAUAAAUUAGAUGAAAUUUAUUAAAAUAAUAAUUUUAAUUUAGUAAUUUCAAACAGGUAAAUACAAAAAAAAAAUAUUUAAAAGAAAUAAUACGUUAAUAAAAUUUACAUAGUGAUAAGAUUUACAUAUUUUAUUAAUAUAUUAAUAUUGUUAUUUAUUAAAAUAUAUGAUGUAGUUCUUAGUAAUUCUAAGUUUUUUUAAAAUAAAAAUCUUAUAAAUAAAUAAUACACAGAUUAAAAUAAAUAAAUCAUUAAUAAUUUAAAAAGCUAAAAUCAAAAAUUAAAAACUAAAAUCUUAAACCACCAUUCGGAUUUUUCAAAAAAACUAAAAUCUUAUGCAAAAUCAAAAACUAACAAUCAAAACCUAAAAUUAAAAAAUCUAAAAACUAAAAACUAAAAAAUAAAAACUAAAAACUAAAAACCAAAAUCUAAAUACGAUGAACAUGCGGUUUACGCUAAAACUUUUUGUGACGGACCGUUAUGAAAAGUCUCCAUUAUAUUACGUUGUUGUGAUUAACGCUUUAUCACUCACGGUUACAAAUUUAAAAUUUGUGAAAGGUCAUCAAUUGAAAUAGUGAAA
rnacentral:lncRNA from 1 species